CACAUUGGAUUUUAAUAGCUCUCUCACUAUUAUAAUUUCAGGAGCCUUCGCUCUUAUCCUUUUCAAGAUACUGGGUGGUGGAGAUGAGCUCAUUGGCAUUCUCUCUUGGGUAUUGCACUCCCAUAAAGCUCAGAACAUCGUCUGGUAGAUUAUUUGCAAGCAAUGUCAACAUAGUAGCUGAAUCAAGAAUCAAAAUCUUAAGCCACCACCAAGAAAGCUCUUCUCCUCGACCACUGCAAAUAAAUGAAAACUCACCUUUGUUCGGGAGAAGAGAAGCAAUUGGUUUUGGCUUCUGCUUCAGCAUUCUUGAUGUAUUCUUGCAAGCACAACCCAGUGUAGCAGCCCAAACAGCUCCAUGUGAACUAACAGUGGCUCCUUCUGGUCUAGCCUUCUGUGAUAAAGUUGUGGGAACUGGCCCUGAGGCUGUCGAAGGACAGCUUAUUAAGGCACAUUAUGUGGGGAAAUUGGAAAGUGGGAAGGUCUUUGAUAGCAGCUAUGAUCGUGGAAAGCCUCUUACAUUUCGUAUUGGUGUGGGUGAGGUCAUUAGAGGCUGGGACCAGGGGAUUCUAGGAGGUGAUGGGGUUCCCCCCAUGCUUGCUGGUAUGGAAAAACCCGUGGAAAACGCACAUUAAAGCUCCCCCCAGAGCUCGGAUAUGGCACGAGAGGUGCUGGCUGUAGAGGAGGUUCAUGUAUCAUACCUCCAGAUUCGGUUCUCCUGUUUGAUGUAGAGUUCAUCGGCAAGGCUUGAGAAGUAGGCGUCAUAAAUUCCAGGCUGAAGACGUCCUAACAUGUAGGAAGGAGCUUCUCCCUCCUCCAUUCAAGACCUUCCUUUAAGAAUACAAAGCAGGGGAAGACAACUAUCAGAACCAACUGUAUUGAUUCAUAUGCAUUUACAUGUUCUUUUGUUCCUAUACUCCAUAAUGUAUUGGUGUGAUUUUUAGAUGAUGUCCUUUGUCAAUACAAUGUGUUUACAAUUCACUGAUGCUAUAGACAUAAUAGUUUUUUUUUAA